UCUGGCUGUUCGAUCCUCGAGCUCUGUAGCCGAGGACUCGACAGUCAUCCGCUUGCAAAUAUAGUUCGUCUUUAACCGGAUGGCUAUAUGAGUAAGCAAUUUACCUUGAGAAAAACAGAGUGUUCCAGGCAGGUUUGUCCGGAAUGCAUUAGCAUGGAAUAAUAGAAUAUGACUGAAGUCGAUUUAUUGGUUUGAGGCUUUAGUAAUGAUUAAUAGGAACAGUCGGGGGCAUUGGUACUUGACAGUCAGAGGUGAAAUUCUAGGAUUUGUCAAAGACUAACAAAUGCGAAAGCAUUUGCCAAGGAUGUUUUCAUUAAUCAAGAACGAAAGUUAGGGGAUCAAAGACGAUCAGAUACCGUCCUAGUCUUAACUAUAAACUAUACCGACUCGGAUUCAGAUGAAUCAUAAAGUUCAUUUGGGACCGUAGGAGAAAUCAAAGUUUUUGGGUUCUGGGGGAAGUAUGGUCGCAAGGCUGAAACUUAAAGGAAUUGACGGUUUUGCACCACCAUGGAGUGGAGUCUGCGGCUUAAUUUGACUCAACACUGGGAAACUCAUCAGGGCAAGAAGAUUGUAGGAUUGACAGAUUGAGAGUUCUUUCUUGAUUGGUCUAGUGGUGGUGCAUGGCCGUUCUUAGUUGGUGGAGUGAUUUGUCUGGUUAAUUCCGUUAACGAACGAGACCUUAACCUGCUAACUAGUACACAGAUGACAAAUCUGUGAUACUUCUUAGAGGGACUAUGUGAUGUAAUCACAUGGAAGUUUGAGGCAAUAACAGGUCUGUGAUGCCCUUAGAUGUCCUGAGCUGCACGCGUACUACAAUGGUGCUUUCAACGAGCUUUUCCUGAUCCGAAAGGAUUUGGGUAAUCUUUUUAGUGAGCACCGUGCUUGGGAUAGAUCUUUGUAAUUAUGGAUCUUGAACUAGGAAUUCCUAGUAAGCACGUGUCAUCAGCACGUGCUGAUUACGUCCCUGCAAAAUGUACACACCGCCCGUCGCUAUUACCGAUUGAGUGUAAAGGUGAACCUUCUCGAUAGACGCAAG
rnacentral:rRNA from 1 species